rnacentral:rRNA from 1 species
AGUGAACGCUGGCGGUAGGCCUAACACAUGCAAGUCGAACGGCAGCACAGUAAGAGCUUGCUCUUACGGGUGGCGAGUGGCGGACGGGUGAGGAAUACAUCGGAAUCUACUUUUUCGUGGGGGAUAACGUAGGGAUACUUACGCUAAUACCGCAUACGACCUACGGGUGAAAGCAGGGGAUCUUCGGACCUUGCGCGAUUCAAUGAGCCGAUGUCGGAUUAGCUAGUUGGCGGGGUAAAGGCCCACCAAGGCGACGAUCCGUAGCUGGUCUGAGAGGAUGAUCAGCCACACUGGAACAGAGACACGGUCCAGACUCCUACGGGAGGCAGCAGUGGGGAAUAUUGGACAAUGGGCGCGAGCCGGAUCCAGCCAUACCGCGUGGGUGAAGAAGGCCUUCGGGUUGUAAAGCCCUUUUGUUGGGAAAGAAAAGCAGCAGGUUAAUACCCCGCUGUUCUGACGGUACCCAAAGAAUAAGCACCGGCUAACUUCGUG